rnacentral:lncRNA from 10 species
AUUUUAUUUUAAUAAGGUCUGGACAUAUUUAUACUCAGUAAUAUUGUAUAGACAUAGAAAAUGUUAACCUUAAAUAAUGAGAUUCAGAAAAUAUAAUUAGUUAUAGAGUAUAUUCUAGCUCAAAGCUUGAGAAUAGCCACCUAGUAAUAUCUGAUAAAGGACUUCCAUCCAGACUACAUAAAAACUCUUAGAAUUCAAAAAUUUUAAAAAAAUUAAAAAUGGACAAAGGAUCUGAAUAGUCCUAACCACUAGGAUGGCUAGAAUCCUACGUCUGAUACUAUCACAUGUUGGUGAGAAACACCAACACUGGAUAAAUCAGUACCUUCAUACACUACUGGUAAGAAUGUAUGACUCUGUUGGACGAGCAUUUUCAGUGCUGUAGGUGGUUCUGCAAUUAAUGUAAGACACAUCAAAUGAGCAAUUCAAUUUCAAAGAAUUGGUUUUCAUAUUCUUAUCAUAUUCUUUAUAAGCAUAAUAAGAGCUCCCAGUAACACUUAAUGAUAUUUCCUUGGCUUCAGCUUUUUCAAAUAUUAAUUUUCUUAAUCAGAAUUUGAUUUUGCUGACAUUUAAAAAAAUAUGACUUAGUUCACCACUCUACUUUCAACUUCACUUUACAUUAGGUGUAUGUUUUGUAUACAGUAAGUGUUUUUGUGUUUUUAACCAAUAAAUAUUUUUUGCUUUUACUAAAAUAUCUAUGGUAUUUAUAAAUUUUGUUUCCUUUACUGUCAUUUUUAAGAGCUGAAAGCAUAAAAAUUUAGAAAGCAUAAAAAUUAGGUCUCACCAAAUACAGAAUAUCAACAAAUAUAUUGAAAUUAUAAAAAAGAACUAAACUAAAAUUAUGCAGAUGAAAAAUACAAUAACUGAAAUUUUAAAAAGAUUACUAGAGGGUCUCAAAAGCAGAUUCCAGCAUGCAGAAGAAAGAAGCCAUACAUUUAAAGAUCAUACAAUUCUCUAGUAUGAGAAACAGAAAGAAAAAUAAAUGAAGGAAAAUGAACAGACUUCAGAGAUCUGUGGGAACUAUGAAGUACACCAACAACCACUCAUGGGAGGCCCAUAAGAAGGAGGAAAAGUAAAAUGGCCAGAAAGAACAUAUGAAGAAAUAUGGGCAAAUAUUUCUCAAAUUUGAUUUCAAAGAACUAUACACAUGCAAGAAUCUCAAGAAAAACUCUAGAAGAGAACAGUAUAAAUCUUCUUGACCUUGUAAUUGGCAAGAGUUUCUUAGAUAUAACAUCUAACACACAACCAAGGGCAAAACAUAAAGAAAUCAUACAUCAUAAAAAUAAAAACAAAUUGUACAUCAAAGGACACGAUUAAGGAAGCAAAAAGACAACCCACAGAAUGGCAGAAAGUGUUUGCAAAUCAUCUGUCUGAUAAGGGUCUAGUAUCCACAAUAUAUAAAGAACA